GAUUAGCAUGUCUAGUAUAGCACUUUAUACUGUGAAACUGCGAAUGGCUCAUUAAAUCAGUUAUCGUUUAUUUGAUAGUACCUUACUACAUGGAUACCUGUGGUAAUUCUAGAGCUAAUACAUGCUAAAAACCUCGACUUCGGAAGGGGUGUAUUUAUUAGAUAAAAAACCAAUGCCCUUCGGGGCUCCUUGGUGAUUCAUAAUAACUUAACGAAUCGCAUGGCCUUGCGCCGGCGAUGGUUCAUUCAAAUUUCUGCCCUAUCAACUUUCGAUGGUAGGAUAGUGGCCUACCAUGGUGGCAACGGGUAACGGGGAAUUAGGGUUCGAUUCCGGAGAGGGAGCCUGAGAAACGGCUACCACAUCCAAGGAAGGCAGCAGGCGCGCAAAUUACCCAAUCCCGACACGGGGAGGUAGUGACAAUAAAUACUGAUACGGGGCUCUUUUGGGUCUCGUAAUUGGAAUGAGUACAAUCUAAAUCCCUUAACGAGGAACAAUUGGAGGGCAAGUCUGGUGCCAGCAGCCGCGGUAAUUCCAGCUCCAAUAGCGUAUAUUAAAGUUGUUGCAGUUAAAAAGCUCGUAGUUGAACCUUGGGUCUGGCUGGCCGGUCCGCCUCACCGCGAGUACUGGUCCGGCUGGACCUUUCCUUCUGGGGAACCUCAUGGCCUUCACUGGCUGUGGGGGGAACCAGGACUUUUACUGUGAAAAAAUUAGAGUGUUCAAAGCAGGCCUUUGCUCGAAUACAUUAGCAUGGAAUAAUAGAAUAGGACGUGCGGUUCUAUUUUGUUGGUUUCUAGGACCGCCGUAAUGAUUAAUAGGGAUAGUCGGGGGCGUCAGUAUUCAGCUGUCAGAGGUGAAAUUCUUGGAUUUGCUGAAGACUAACUACUGCGAAAGCAUUCGCCAAGGAUGUUUUCAUUAAUCAGGAACGAAAGUUAUGGGAUCGAAGACGAUCAGAUACCGUCGUAGUCUUAACCAUAAACUAUGCCGACUAGGGAUCGGGCGGUGUUUUCUUAUGAUGACCCGCUCGGCACCUUACGAGAAAUCAAAGUUUUU
rnacentral:rRNA from 1 species